rnacentral:rRNA from 1 species
GCUGGCGGCGUGCUUAACACAUGCAAGUCGAACGAUGAAGAGCAGCUUGCUGCUUGGAUUAGUGGCGCACGGGUGAGUAAUAUAUAGGUAAUGUGCCUCUUAGUCUGGGAUAGCCAUUGGAAACGAUGAUUAAUACUGGAUACUCCUUCUAACUCUAAUGUUAGUCGGGAAAGUUUUUCGCUAAGAGAUCAGCCUAUAUCCCAUCAGUUAGUUGGUAAGGUAACGGCUUACCAAGGCAAUGACGGGUAGCGGGUUUGAGAGGAUGAUCCGCCACACUGGUACUGAGACACGGACCAGACUCCUACGGGAGGCAGCAGUGAGGAAUAUUGCACAAUGGGGGAAACCCUGAUGCAGCAACGCCGCGUGGAGGAUGACGCAUUUCGGUGUGUAAACUCCUUUUAUAUGUCAAGAAAAUGACGGUAGCAUAUGAAUAAGCACCGGCUAACUCCGUGCCAGCAGCCGCGGUAAUACGGAGGGUGCAAGCGUUACUCGGAAUCACUGGGCGUAAAGGACGCGUAGGCGGAUUGGAAAGUCAGAUGUGAAAUCCUACAGCUUAACUGUAGAACUGCAUUUGAAACUUCUAAUCUAGAGUAUGGGAGGGGGAGAUGGAAUUAGUGGUGUAGGGGUAAAAUCCGUAGAUAUCACUAGGAAUACCGAAAGCGAAGGCGAUCUCCUGGAACAUUACUGACGCUAAGGCGUGAAAGCGUGGGGAGCAAACAGGAUUAGAUACCCUGGUAGUCCACGCCCUAAACGAUGAACACUAGUCGUCGGGAUGCUUGUCAUCUCGGUGAUGCACUUAACAGAUUAAGUGUUCCGCCUGGGGAGUACG